rnacentral:rRNA from 1 species
UCUUCCACAAUGGGGGCAACCCUGAUGGAGCAACGCCGCGUGAAGGAUGAAGGCCUUCGGGUUGUAAACUUCUUUUAUGAGUGAAGAAUAUGACGGUAACUCAUGAAUAAGCACCGGCUAACUACGUGCCAGCAGCCGCGGUCAUACGUAGGGUGCAAGCAUUAUCCGGAGUGACUGGGCGUAAAGAGUUGCGUAGGCGGUUAGUAAAGUGAAUAGUGAAACCUGGUGGCUCAACCAUACAGACUAUUAUUCAAACUCACUAACUCGAGAAUGGUAGAGGUAACUGGAAUUUCUAGUGUAGGAGUGAAAUCCGUAGAUAUUAGAAGGAACACCAAUGGCGUAGGCAGGUUACUGGACCAUUUCUGACGCUAAGGCACGAAAGCGUGGGGAGCGAACCG